UUCUGUCGGUGGGUGCUAUAAUGUUGCACGUCUUGCAUCACAUGCAGGUCAAAGUUUGAGCGCACACAUGUAAUAUCUGUGAGUUUUGUAAUAUCUCCCGUUUUGCAAGAGAAAAGGGACUGGGAUUCCAACUGUCAGCGGAGAGUGUUGUCUGCAACCAGAAAAUCAGGAUGGAUCCGUGACCUGCCAAUACCUCAGGUAUGAUUAUGGCCUUAUAUAUAUUUUGUGUCUGUUUUUACUCAAGAUAUUUCACAUUACUAUUAUAAAGUGAUGCCAAAUGAGUUCUGUAUUUAAGGCAAUGAUCAUUACCACAUCAUGCUCAAAGAAUUACUUCAAACCCACUGAUAAUUAAUAAAGAAUUACCACAACAUUCUCAAGGAAUUACUAAGAACCUGGAACAGUAUUCUAAAGUGAAAAUAUCCUUGUGCAUAAGUAAUAAAGCCUAAAGUAGUACUAACAUAAAAAAAAUGUAAUUUUACUUUAAAAGAUGACACAUUUUAAGAACAUUUACAUUUAUUGCAGUGUUAAUAACAUUUUCAACAAAAAAAAAUUAUAUUUCCAUACAACAAAACAAUGAAAAAAGUGAACACUAAAACAAGAAAACAAUACCAAAAUUUUACAUCAGAUUACUAGGAACUUACCAAAUAUAACAACGCAAAGACAGCAAAUAUGUGUAUGCAGGGGCGUACGGGACACCCCCGCAGCCCCCGCGGUGCGUGGGGGCCCCCACCCUAUGAUGGGCCCCGGCAGAUUCACCUAUUUGCUACAUAGCCUUUGCUUUUUUUAGAACUGAACUCAAAUGACUAAAGAUUAAAGCAGAGCCAGCUCUGCUCAGCUACCGGAAUGUCUGAAGUUCUUCUACAAAUGUAGCCUAGCCAAUAAGUCUAGUUAUUUCUUUAUUCUUUUAUUUAAAUACAUGAAUUUAGUUCAGGCCUUUAUCAUUUGAUGCACCGAUCUAAAAUUUGCGGCCGAAACAGCAAUUUUACGCGCUUGUCUAGAAGGGAACCUUGUAUUGGCCUAUGCAAAUUUGUGUCUAACUUAAAAUUUAGACCAGCUAAAAUAUAUUGUUAGACCAAAAAUAUCUUAUCAAUUAAUUAAGUAAUAAAGACAUGUAUUUAAGAAAUUUAAUAAAAACAGAAAUACGUCUAUUGCUUAUUCAAAGGCCGCGGAAAGUUCGUUUGUUACGCACUUCAAUCCAUUCCACACCCGACGUUUUGGUUUUCUUCCUAAUUAUUAAAUAUAGGCAAUUGGUUGAUGAAACAUUGAUUGAAAUUAAGAUACAAUUUCUACACAACGAAAUUCACUUUAAAGAAAGACUUACUAUAAAACAAAACUUAAUGAAGCGGGCAAACUCAUGUCUGACCCGCUGCAUGUCUCCCGACAUUGCGCAUCCAUCAUGCUAGGCUAUUCACUUUUCAUAAUAGGUGAAAUUUAAAAAAAAAAAAUAUAAGGCUAUAGCUCAAUAUUUAAAUAUAAAUGUGAAACUUAAUUGGCUACAUUUUUAUCCCUCUGGUCGACGAACGCGCCGGCGCGCUCUGAUGGAUUGUUUCCUCAUGACAGCUGAAACAACUUAAAAUAGACUUUAGAUUAGUGCAAAACUACAAAUGGUCUACUUUUAUUUAUGUACUGAUACACUCACAAUAACAACAAAACCUUGUAUUUUUGUAAAAUAAAAUAAAUACAAAACAGGGUGCGCUUUCAGCUUUCUCUGCGAGAAUCUUUCUUAAUUCGGUAGAGUGUUUGCUUUUUUGUGUGUGGUAGUCAGUUGAUAAAAAGAAUAAACAAGUUAAUCCUCAAAAGUUGGUAUUUUAAGAUGUAUAUAAAGUUAGUUUUUCUCAAAAUACAGCAUAUAGCUGAUAUAUAGAAUAGAGCAUAGGCCUAUAACUGAUAGAGUUGUUCUUUUAAAGUUUUUUCUCCUAGUUCUUUUACUAUUCUUUUUUUUUUUUACUGCGAGGCAUGAAAUUUUCUUGUAUAAUUUCUUCUCUACAAUUUGCGAUGCUUAUAGGCCAGUGUUUAAACUGAGAUGUGUUGGCCAUUACAUUUACUUUAUUGAGCUUACUGUUAAAUAAAAUUUGUUCCUCGGGGGCUAUAACUGAUGUUUGUGAAUUAUUGCUGUGAAGGAUCCUCCUGCUAUUUCUAAAGUAACUAAAAUCGGACCCGCGAAAUUAGCUUAAAUAUUUAUUCCUGCCUGGAUUUUAGUCUGCGAUAUCAAAAUCACUAAACAUUAUAUAGCAUAAAUAAUAUUAUUCAAUAAUAACACCAAAUUAAUCAAUGCAAUGAUAAUUCACCACAUGAUUCACUGUUAAAUCAGUUUUUGUGAACUGGGGGGGAGACGGACUCAGGUGCACAACAGAUUUUAACACAUGACAUCACUGCUCGUGGGAGGGGCCUCAUCUCAUUAUUUGCGGGGGGGCCUCACAGACAUGCGGUACGCCACUGUGUGUAUGCCUAAACUUCAACUUUCAGCCAAUGGUUCUCUAAUACAUCUAAUUCAUGUUAUUUUUUUCUGGCAAAGGUCAAUAAGCAUGCCAUUCUUCUUUUUUUCCUCGAUGAUGCUUCGAAGUGGCUCCCUUGUGCACAUUUCUUUGCACUGUUUGGCAAACUCUGACAGUUUCUGGCCUCUGUGGAACUUUUCACGCAAUGUCUUGUAGGCUUCAGCAUCACAAUACUCCAGCUCUGCUAUCGCUGCUGUAUCCACAACCGUUUUUCGAUCCACCCCACACUUGUGGUACGACACAUUGAUGUCCUAAGACACGAAUUGAUCGGUUUUUGUGAGAAACCGAACGGUAUUUAUAUCAUUAUUUAACUCUAAUACACCACUAUGUCCAACUGCCUUCAUCCUACCAUGACGGAAGUGAUCUCUAGCACACGUUGAAGUCUACACUGUAAAAAAUUGCUGUAAAUUUACAGCCAAUUUCCAACAGUAAAAUACCGUAAUUUCAAUAAACAGUUAAAUCCUGUAAAUUUACAGGUAAUGGUCGGUAAAUUAAUUACUUGCAGUAAAUUUACAGCACUUAACAGUAAAAAGGUUUGUUCCUGAGAAAAACGGCCUAAUACUGUAAAAAACAGCACAUGGGGGCGGAGCAUCUUCAACGAGCCACAUUCAAACUACUGCUGAAGUGCUGCGGUCAACCAACGGAAUCUCUUAAGAAGGAAACUGUUCAAGGCUCUAAGGACCUUUGAGAUAACUGAAAUCGUUUGGCGAAGUGAUAUGGAACUGUAAUGCGGUCAAAUCCUCAAGAUGCCGGGAACUACUGCCUUGAACAGCUGUAGUAUAAACAGGUGAAAAUCCGGGGCAAUGGAUGAAACGGUGGAUGAUCAGCCUGGAAGGCUGCAUAAUCUGCGAGGGUGUGCAGCCAACUUUUCUCACUGGACUUGCUGCAUUGUUCUCUCUGUAUUAUAUCCUUAAUUUGCAGUACCAGGAGGAAGCAGCAUCCACACUGGAAUUCCUUCAAAGUGAACUCAGUGCAGGAUUCCUUGUUUACAUCGGAAUGCCAACACAGUAUUGGCCGAAGCUGAACACGUGAGCAGACAUACAUGCAUGUGAUGUUUACACAGGAAAAAUAUCUUAAUUUGUGUUCCGAAGAUGAACAAAGGUCUUACGGACGUUUUGUUGGAAUAAAUCCGGAAAAGGGGACCAAGGCUGCACGGGGAAAAGUUACAUCCAAAAAAACUGGGAAAAAAGUGCAAAAGAAAACCAUAACUGUCAACACCAAAGUGUCAAACCUCUUAAAGAGACUUAUGGACUUUGAGUGGGACUUCAUUUAAAAAGUGUAGUUGACACACCCCACACCCAUGCAGGUUGGUUUCUGAAAAAUGUGCUGGCCUGGUGAGAUUUGUUGAUGGGUGUUUAUUUUUUAUAUGCACUGAAUAUUACUUGAAUACUUUUACAUUUUUAUCGGAAUAAAAAAAAAACACUAACUUGGCUUUAUUCCUUUUUGUUACCCAUGUAAUGCUGAGUUAUUAUAGCAUUUAAAAUUUGAAUGAUUUGGUUGUGACUAGUAUAUAAUUUAACAGCUAUCAAUGUAAAAUAAUUUCCCUGUAAAAAAACAGUAAUCUACUGGCAGCUGUGGUUGCCAGCAUGAUACUGUAAAAAUACAGAGCACUAUCGUUUUUGAAAUUAACAGCCAAAUACAGUUUUUUUCAGCUACAGUAGAGUACUCUCUUUCUUCUUCUCAUCUUUCCUCUGUCGUGUCAUCCUCCCUUCCCUCACCCUCACAAUUCUCAUCUCUGGAUGUGAAUACAGCAACAGACACUUUAUGUUCCACAUUAACUUCAUCUCUAGAUAGUAUCUGUCCUCUGUCAUCCAGGCCUGCACGUGCUCUAAUCCCUGGUUAUCUGAUGUUCUUCGUGAACAUCGGACCAAACUCAGGGCUGCAGAGAGGAAGUGGCACAAAUCAAAAGACCAAUUUGACCUAUGUAGCUAUCAGUCUCUGCUCUCAUCCUUUUCUGCUGAAAUUCAUGCUGCUAAAUCCUCCUAUUUCCACAACAAAAUCAACAGCGUUUCAAACACACGUACACUUUUCAAAACAUUCAACUCUCUCCUCUGUCCCCCUCCAUCACCACCCACCUCAUCCCUUACUGCUGAUAAUUUUGCUACAUUUUUCACUGACAAAACAUCUACCAUCAGCAGUCAGUUCUCCGCUCCACACACACAGGAACACAGACCAACCACACACACAGCCACACACCUCCUCUCUUCAUUCUCCCCCCUCACUGAGACAGAAGUAUCCAAACUUCUCCUCUCCAAUCAUCCCACCACCUGCCCUCUAGAUCCCAUCCCUUCACACCUUCUACAAGCCAUUGCUCCCACACUUUUACCAGCACUUACACACAUUAUCAACACAUCUCUCCACACUGGCACUUUCCCUAACACAUUCAAGCAGGCUCGGGUAACCCCACUGCUUAAGAAACCCACAUUAAACACGUCUCUUGUAGACAGCUACAGACCUGUUUCUCUCCUACCAUUCAUAGGAAAAACACUUGAACGAGUUGUUUUCAACCAGGUGUCAUCUUUCCUCUCACAGAGCAACCAAUUGGAUGUCAAUCAAUCUGGUUUCAAGAGUGGCCACUCGACUGAGACUGCACUGCUGUCGGUCACUGAAUCCCUGCGGAUUGCAAAAGCUAAUUCCAAAUCAUCAGUUCUCAUUCUGCUCGAUCUAUCUGCUGCCUUUGACACAGUGAAUCAUCAGAUCCUCCUGUCCACCCUCUCGUCACUGGGCAUCACAGAUGAUCCAACAGUAGCUGCACGAAUCUCA